rnacentral:pre_miRNA from 1 species
AUCUUUAUGAACCCGUACCGAGAUUUCGUCAGACACCAGAACAACAGUAGUGAUGAGACUGUCAAGAUAAGUGAAGUG